GACGAACGCUGGCGGCGUGCCUAAUACAUGCAAGUCGAACGAACGCACCCGGUGCUUGCACUGGUCAAUCUAGUGGCGAACGGGUGAGUAACACGUGGGUAACCUGCCCAUCAGAGGGGGAUAACAUCCGGAAACGGAUGCUAAAACCGCAUAGGUCUUCGAACCGCAUGGUUUGAAGAGGAAAAGAGGCGCAAGCUUCUUCUGUUGGUUGGACCCGCGGUGCAUUAGCUAGUUGGUGAGGUAACGGCUCACCAAGGCCGUGAUGCAUAGCCGACCUGAGAGGGUGAUCGGCCACAUUGGAACUGAGACACGGCCCAAACUCCUACGGGAGGCAGCAGUAGGGAAUCUUCCGCAAUGGACGCAAGUCUGACGGAGCAACGCCGCGUGAGUGAAGAAGGUUUUCGGAUCGUAAAACUCUGUUGUUAGGGAAGAACAAGUGCUAGAGUAACUGUUAGCGCCUUGACGGUAUCUAACCAGAAAGCCACGGCUAACUACGUG
rnacentral:rRNA from 1 species